AAUAUCAGAACGAAGCUGCUAGAAGUCCAGCUCAAAAGAAACAACAAUAAGCUACAGAGAGUUGUUUCUUUUGUAAUAAGUCUGGACAUGUAAAGAAAGAUUGUACCAAAUAUGAUGCUUGAUGUGUAAAGAAAGGUAUAAUUCUUAACUUGGUCUGUUCUGAGAUUAAUUUAGCUUCAAUACCUAGAAACACUUGGUGGAUAAAUUCUGGUGCUACUACUCACAUAAGUGUCUCUAUGCAGGGUUGCCUAAGUUACCGAAACCAAGUAAUGGUGAAAGACACAUCUUUGUGGGCGAUGGAAAAUCGGUAGAAGUGGAAGCAAUUGUGCAUUUUAGGUUGUUAUUAGGAGUUGGC
rnacentral:lncRNA from 1 species